UACGUAGGUGGCAAGCGUUGUCCGGAAUUAUUGGGCGUAAAGCGCGCUCAGGCGGUCCCUUAAGUCUGAUGUGAAAGCCCACGGCUCAACCGUGGAGGGUCAUUGGAAACUGGGGGACUUGAGUGCAGAAGAGGAAAGUGGAAUUCCAUGUGUAGCGGUGAAAUGCGUAGAGAUGUGGAGGAACACCAGUGGCGAAGGCGACUUUCUGGUCUGUAACUGACGCUGAGGCGCGAAAGCGUGGGGAGCAAACAGG
rnacentral:rRNA from 1 species